GACGAACGCUGGCGGCGUGCUUAACACAUGCAAGUCGAACGGUGAAGGGACCGGUUUUUGCUGGUUCUGGAUGAGUGGCGAACGGGUGAGUAACACGUGAGUAACCUGCCCCCUUCUUCUGGAUAACCGCAUGAAAGUGUGGCUAAUACGGGAUAUUCUGCGCCUGCUGCAUGGUGGGUGUGGGAAAGAUAUUGUUUCGGUGGGGGAUGGGCUCGCGGCCUAUCAGCUUGUUGGUGGGGUGAUGGCCUACCAAGGCGGUGACGGGUAGCCGGCCUGAGAGGGUGGACGGUCACACUGGGACUGAGACACGGCCCAGACUCCGACGGGAGGCAGCAGUGGGGAAUAGUGCACAAUGGGCGCAAGCCUGAUGCAGCGACGCCGCGUGAGGGAUGGAGGCCUGCGGGUUGUAAACCUCUUUCGCCAGUGAAGCAGGCCUGUCCCUUUUGUGGGUGGGUUGACGGUAGCUGGAUAAGAAGCGCCGGCUAACUACGUG
rnacentral:rRNA from 1 species